UUUAUAUUUUAAAAUAGAAAGAUUUAUUAGGGGACGCCUGACCUGAUUAAAGCAUUUGGCACACAUUGCUGCCAAACUUCACUUGCACUAGGCGGUAAGAAGUGUACGCCAAACCAGACCGUCGCAUCGAAGCCGAACACCCUCUGCAUCUCGGCUUGAUUCGGUGCCGGCCGUGCGAUGCGUGAAUCUGUGAGGAAACCCCGAAGUGAAGUAACCUCAUGGCAGUUGAUUUUUAUCACCUCUGGUCUCGUACUGGCGGUCGCUUACUCCCAUUAUCAAGAGGUUCAGGUGCCAGCUGAAGAAAUAAGGAGGCGGAGAGAAGCCUACAGGUACGGCGCCGUGGC